GACCGCGUAGCUCAGUUGGCAGAGCAUUGGGCUAGUAUUCCAAAGGUCGUAGGUUCGAUUCCCGCCGUGGUCA
rnacentral:tRNA from 1 species